CCAGAGGCGCACAGCCAGACACUGUGCAGAGACCUCGGAACUCUCAGCCCUGAUGGCUGACUGUCAAAUCCCAGAGUCACCUCUGUCAAGUUCCGUGUCAGAGCACAGAAAACCCCACAAAUGGAAGACACCAAGAAAACAGGCCCUUUAAACCAACUGGGUAAACGUCUUAUCAGUCACAGAGGCCGAAGCAGCGAGCACAGGGCCUGCACCGUUCUGCACCAGGUCCUCUGUCUUGGUGGUCAGUCCCGAGUAACACACAGGUUGACUUCGACCAAUGCACAGCAGGUAAAUGGGUUGGCUGCGACCAUUCAUGUGCUGGGCUCACUAGAAACAGGCUUCCAGAAGGAGGCUGUCUCAGAUGCCCAUGCUCAAGUCAGCACAUAGUAGGCCUCUGCCACCCAGGAGUGCUUUGCUUAGGAGGAACGUGAGGAUUUUUUAAAUGAGGCAGAGAAUAUGGCGGGGUGCAGUGGUUUGAAUAAAAAGGGCCCCCCAUACAUUAGGCUCACAGGGAGGGGCACUAAUGGGAGGAGGGGCCUUGUUGGAGGGGUGUGGCCUGAUUGGAGGAAGGGUGUUACUGGGGCUGGGCUUUGAGGUUUCAAAUGCCCACGCCGGCCAAGUGUCAUUCUGUCUUCCUGCCGCCUGCGAAUCCUGAUAUAGAACUCCCAGCUACCUUUCCAGAACAUGUCUGCAGGCCUGCUACCAGGCUUCCUACCGGGAUGAUGAUGGACUGAACCUCUGAACUGUAAGCCAGCCCCGGUUCCAUGUUUUCCUUGGUAAGAUUUGCCAUGAUCGCAGGUAUCUCUUCACAGCAGCGAAACCCCAGCUAAGACAGAGCUUGGUGGGGUACAAGCUGGAGCACACUUCUGUUUGGAGAACUAUGGAACGCUUUGGGACUUUGGGCUGGAAGAGCAGCUGGACACUUUAUGGGACUUAAUGGGCCCUACUCAUAGACGCAUAGAAGACAGUGGUGCUGGGUGAUUUGAACUGCGGGGCGCCCAGCUCAAGAGGUUCCAGAGAAGAGGAUCAGCAUGUGGCCUAGAGACCGUUCUUGUGUUAUUUUGGCAAAAGGCGUGGCUGCUUUCUGCCCUUGUCCUAAAACUCCUCCCGAAACUAAAUGAAGAGUUAUGGAUCAAUAGCUCUGGCAGAGAAUGUUUUGACACAACUAGGGUUGGCUGUGUCCCUUGGUUCUUAGUGGCCAGUAUUAUGCAACUCGUAAUGAGAAGGAGCGAGCUGAGCAGGGAAGAUACAAAAUGCAGUUUGAGGAGAAAAGAGAGCACCAGGGAAAGGUUUAAAGGAACACCCGAUGACAAGUAGGAUAAAGGGAGCGGUGGCCUCAGAGCAAGACCCACCCAGCUGAGCUUCCGAUCUGUGGAAAGGAAUUAAAGAAAACCUUAGGGCCAGGCAUGGUGGUGCACACCUUUAAUCCCAGCACUCUCAAGGCAGAGGUGGCAAUGCUCUGAGUUUGAGGCCAGCCUGGUCUACAGAUAGAGUUCCAGGGCAGCCAAGCUUAGACGGUGAAGGAGGCCAUCACGAACAGAAAGCUGGUGAUGUACUUGAACGAGGGGCCAUGGUCCAGCCUCAGCAGCAGUAGAACUUGGCAGCUUUGGCCACAUGGCUCCGUCUUUAGUCAAGGACACAGGAAAGGGGCUGUGGGAUCUCCCUCCAGGGCUAAGCAAAGUCACUCAGGCCAGGUGUGGGGUGGGGGUGUCCCUGCAUGGAGGCCUAGAGAGGCCAUUGUGAAGCUGUGAAGGUGAAGCCUGGGUUGCCUUGGAGAUGCUAAGAUGUUGGGGAUGCCAGGGCCCUGGAUACCUUCCUGGGAAAACCAGGGAAGCUGCUGACAGGGCAUGGAGUGGAGACACGAGAAAGAAGUGUGUUGCAAGCUGAAAGGAGUUGGAGGUCUGGAGUGAUUUGACAUCACACGUGGAGAUGCAGAGUUUGGAGUCUGCUCUGCUGGUUUUCCGUCUCGCUUUGGCCCAGCGCUUCCUCACCCCACUCCCUUCCCUCCCCACUGGAGUGGUGAUUAUAUCCCGUGUUGUUGUAUGUUGGAAGCACGUGAUCUGCUCUUAAUUCUGAUUGUACAGGUGGUUACAGGUAUGAGUCUGUGUGAGGGUCACAAGGAACUUUGGCCUUUUAAACAUUGUUCAGACUGUGAUUGACUCUAAGAACUUUUGAAGUUGGACUGAAUGCUCUCUGCUUUGUGAUCUGGAUACAGGCCUACGGGAGCCAGGGAGCAGAACGUGGAGGUUUGAAUAUGACAGUAUUGGGAACUAUGGCCUGGUUGGAAGGGGCGUGGUCUACUGGAGAGAAUAUGUCACUGGGGGUGGGAUGUGAGGUCUCAGAUGUUCAAGCCAGGCCCAGUGUCUGUCUGUCUCUGUCUGUCUGUCUGUCUGUCUGUCUGUCUCUCUCUCUCUCUCUCUCUCUCUCUCUCUCUCUCUCUCUCCCUGCUGCCUGCCUAUGCAGAUGCAGAACUCUCAGCUACCUCCCAGCACCAUGUCUGCCUGUGUGCCGCCAUGCUUCCCACUUGACGAUAGUGGAUUAAACCUCUGAAGCUGUGAGCCAGCCCCAAUCAAAUGUUUUCCCUUUAUAAGCAUGGUAGAGGUCAUGACGUCUCUUCAUAGCAGUUAACCCUAACAAAGACAGGAGGGUGCCUUGGACUACGUGAGACGUGAUCCCCACCAGGACUGAUAUCAUUGGUGAGUCCUUAGCAGGGCAGGGCCAAAGUCAGAAUGGAUAUUUCAACAAAUGACCUCAAUGAGUGCCCUUAAGGGGACUCAAGAACUGGGACUCACUGUGGCAGGGUGGCCAGUCCCCAUGAGUAGCUAUUGGUGUGGAUCCAUUGGACCAUGCAGCUGGCACCUAUGGCUUAGGACUCCAGCAGGAAAUACCAUGCUGGUAUGAAAAUGGCUUACCCCAGAGCCUUGGCUUAUCCCCAGGGGGAGGGCUGGCUGCAAGCCUGGGAACUGGCACUUCCUGGCUUGUGCUUUCCUUGUUUCUAUAGCUAACAAUGCUACUAUGGGCAAGGCGAAGACACACUGACAAUUUCUCCCCCCUCCCCUCUGUCUCUCCCUCCCCUCUCCCCUCUCUUUGUCUCUCCCCCUUCCCCUCCCUGUCUGUCUCUCUUUCCCCCUCCCCCUCUCUCCCCCUCUCUGUCUAUGUCUCUGUCUCUGUCUCUCUCUCCUCUCUGUGUCUCUGUCUCUCUCUCUCUCUCUCUCUGUCUCUGUCUCUCUCUCUCUCUCUCUCUCUCGUUUUGUAUGUACUGUGCAUCUUCAUUUUCUCUCAGUUCAGGCAAGCAUUCUGACCCCGAACUGGCCCUAUGACCAAGAGUUAACAGUAGCAGCUACCACUACAGUUGAAAUGCUUGCACAGUUCCUCAGCUCCAAGUUCUGUGUGGACUAUACCUCACAGGCCCUCCCCUGUUACCACACCUCCUGGGCUAAGCAUUGCCAUUCCAUCCACUUCAGAGCUGAGAGAAUUGAAGAGCCAGGUCAGGAAAGCUAAAUGAUUCAUUCAGGGUAGGUAGCAGAGAUCAGAGGCAGGUUUGUGGUGCUCCGGAGAAGUAUUAGGCUGUGGUUAGGGGAAUAAUCAACCCACAAAAGCCCCGCCUGGUGAUGGCAGAUCGAUGGCUGAGUAAGACACUGCAGAGCUGGUGUCUGGGCCAGGGCUGGCAUGGACAAGGCCGUGGAUAACAACAGGUCUCUCCAGCUGACAAAUCCUGUCCGGGAGAGAAGUCAGAGAGCAGACAGGACACGUGCCUGAGGUUCAGAGGGCCGCAGGUGCAGGUCUGCAGACCCUUGGCAGGCGGGGAAGGAUGGAUGCCCACCCGUAGGCUCCCUCUGUGCCCGGGAUUGGCACUAUCUAUGCUUUAGGUCUCCCCCUCCACAACCCACACUGAUUCCCCAUCACUGAAGCCACGAGCAACUUCUCUGGCCCAGAGUGUGGCAAGCAAGGAACUGCUGCACCUUAGCUACCACCUGAAUCUAAAUCAGGCCACUGUGGUGCUAUUUCUUUCUGCAGGUGCCUGAGCUGUGACUUCUACUGAAAGAGGAGAAGGGGUGCGCCCAGCUCAGAAGCACGCCACACAGGGAAAGGUACAGCCUGUCAGCUUGCACCACUUGCAGCCUGAGGGGCUGUCAGUUCCCUAUGGAGAACCAUGGCAGGAGGUAAAGGAUGUCCCUCCUUCGGAGAAGCCAGGUCCCAAGAGAAACCCUGUCCCAAGGCAGAACUACUUCUGCAGAAAGAAGACGAGUUGGAGACGGGGUGCACACCGAGAAAAGGGUGUACGCAGGGAAACCUGAGGGGCAUUAGCAAUGGCAAGGACCAUUUCACAACAUGGAGGAACACUGAUGGGGGGAGGGGGUGGCGUUGCUGGUGGCAGGUGCCCUUGGGUCUGUCCUGUGUGGCUGAGCAUCCUCUUAGCCUGAGGUUUCUGGUGCUUGUGGUCCCGAUGACACAUCCCAUGCACAAUCCUCUCCUGACACAUGAAUAAUCUUCAAGCACAUGUGGUAGAAGCAGUACCCAGCCUGAGCUAAGGCUCUUUGCCUCCCAGUGCCAGAACUGCCACCAAAUUCACCUUCCCCUAGGCUCAGUGAAGGAAGGAGCGGCCAAGCCUAGGAUGCAUUUUCGUGCUGCCUGGAUGCCUCCUGUGUGCUGAGCUGAGAACGAGUCCAUGAGAAGCAAUCAUGAAUAUCUCGGAAGGACGAGACUGGAGGCCCAAAGGAGAAAGGUUGGGAUGUCGGCACAAACAUGUCUCUGACUAUAACCGUGCACCAGAAAGAACAGAUCGAGAAGUGAGGCUCUCGGAACUCUAGUCAGCUGUGCCUGAUAUCAGCGAAGUGAAGAUUGGUAGAGGAGGCCACACUAGAUCUGUCAGAACAGACGACGCCUUUGGAAAGCUGGUCAUAAAGGAAAAAGCAGACUUCUCUACUUAAGCGAUGAGGACCUGCACUUGCUGCCUGUGUGACUUCUGGGGCCAGGGCCACACUAACACCCUGUUUCAAGAUGGACCCAGGGGGCCUAGUGAGUUGCCAGCCUCACUCUGCCUCCAUGUAUGACCGAAAGGCAAGGGGUUGUAGGAGACUGAAGCAUGCAGAGCACAGACAGGCCUUGGAAGCACUUACUCUCUGCACUCUCUGGGUUGGGGAGGAAAAGGAAAAGACUUGCAGCUCCCUUCCCAGGACCUCCAGGCUGGUGCCCAAAGGGAGUGUUUGACAGCUCCUUACACAAGCAUCUUCCACAAGGUAAAAGACGGUAAGCAAUGAAGAAAGAGCUCUACACCAUGCUGGCGAUUGCUCUGGAAAGCAGGAGUUGUACUUUCUGUAGACCUUCGUGGUCCUGGCUCCUUCCUACCAGGCUUCUUCCUCACACAGCUCCCCAACAUGUCCUAAACUGCUUUUCCUUCUAGGUCUUCCAAGGUCUUGAACUAAUUAACUAGAACAUCCACCAUUUCCUUGCUCUGAGAUCCUCUUCGAACAGAAGAGCUGCCGGGAGCUACCCACAGGACUCGGAGAAGAAUCACACUGUCAUGUUAGGAUGUGGCUGUCAGAGCCCUCUUCUCCCUGUUUUGUGCAGACUGGAACUGUCCAGGUUGCUAUAUGGUUUUGCCUACAGUCCCAUGGAUCUAGGUAUCUCUCGUGGUAUAUUUAGGAAAACAGUGAGCUUGGACUUCAUCUUGCCUUGUUAUAUGUUCUUUAAGUGGACCAACCAAAGUGGGAUGUACCACUGCCCCCUUCAUGCCCUGUCAAAGUGGCACCCCUACCCACGUCAUAUCAGACAGCCACUUUGGGUUUUGCAACAGAGAAUCAUUAUCAUUGCGGCCAUGUCUGUCCUGUCGUCAAGAUGCUGGGCAGAGAGCCGAGAACAGUGACGUCAUCCUGACGAUGACAACGCACAGGUUGAGAGUGCAGACAUGAUACUGACGGUGAGGAUAAUACCUCGGCAAAGGACAAUGGCAUCAUGCCGAUGAUGACGACACUCCAGCAGAGGACAGUGAUGUCACCCUGAUGGUAAUGGCAUCAUCCUGAGGAUCGGCACGCAAGCGGAAGAUACCGAGGUCACACUGAUUAUAACAUGGCACAGGAUGAGGGGAGGACACCAGGCUGCUAAACUUUGUGGCAUUUUUAGGUAAAAUACAGCUCACUUAAUCUCACCUGUUAAGAGUGGGGCCUCCGCCUUCCUUCACUGCCCACCCUGUCAAAGGCCCGGCUCCCAGCUCUCCUAGUGGUACCCAGGAAACAGGCAGCAUUUGCUUAGCAGCCCACUUGGUGGUGUAGCAGCCACAUGCUCUCCUACGAUCCUGAUUCCAAUUUAUUUCAUAGUGCGCAGUGCUAUCUUUUUCGCACAGCAGCAGAUAGCCGAACCAUGGAGGAACAGUUGACUUCAGGACAGAUUACAAAUGAUUUUUUAUCUUCAAGAAGCUAGGUGGGAAACUUGAGACUAUCAGAAAAGCACAGUGUGGUGGGGACAAUGAUAAACUCCAGAGAGCCUUGCACAGGGCUGAAAGACAGAGGAGAAAAUAGGUGAGGACGGUGUGUCUCUCACCUUGGAGAAACCCUGUCAGUGAGGAGCGUGAGUGAUACCAGGAAAGGGGCAAACCCUCUGAGUCCCAAAACCACAGGGAAAUGUGCUUAACAUACAUAGAUGUGCAUGCUGUUCAUGUACAUGAACAUGCAUGUGCGUGGGCAUGUAUGGUCAUGGACAUAUGUGGGCAUGGACAUGUAUGUACGUGGGCUGCAUAUAUAUAGGUAUGCAUGUGUGUGGGUGUACAUGUGGAUGGGUAUGCUUAUGUGUGGACAUGCAUGUGCGUGGGCAUGUGUUGCAUGGACAUAUGUGGGCAUGGACAUGUAUAUAUGUGGGCAUUCAUGUAUAUAGGUAUGCAUGUGUGUGGGCAUGCAUGUACAUGGGUAUACAUGUGGGUGGGUAUGCUUAUGUGUGGAUAUGCAUGUGCAUGGGCAUGUAUGGUCAUGGACGUAUGUGGGCAUGGACACAUAUGUGCAUGCAUGUGUCUGGGCAUGCAUAGGCAUGGGUAUACAUGUGCAUGCAUGUGUGUGGACAUGUGUGGUCAUGGAGAUAUGUGGGUAUGGACACACAUGUGCAUGCAUGUGUUUGGGCAUGCAUAUUGCAGUAUAUCAACUCUUUUUCACUCUAUUUUCAGUAUUUUUCAGUAUAUCAAACUCUAUUUUCACUCUUUAAAGGAAGCCCGGCAUUCAUGGGCAUUUUAUAUUGAUUAAGAACAGUCCAAUGGGGGGUUGGGGAUUUAGCUCAGUGGUAGAGCACUUGCCUAGCAAGCACAAGGCCCUGGGUUCAGUCCUCAGCUCCGGGAAGAAAAAAAAAAAAAGAACAGUCUAAGGGAUAAAUGAAAGUUCCAGAAAAGACUUAACCCUCUGCUCUAUCAUCUACGAUCUAUCCAGAUCUCACAUUUUCUCAUCAGCAGUAGAAAUAACAUCAUUUGCUAGAAGAAUUGAGCAGAUGAACAUGAGUCUCAUAUUAAACACCUAAUACAGGCUUAUCCUGUACUACAAUGGAGCCUUCUCGAGAACUAUUUCAAACAUUGGAUACACACACACACACACACACACACACACACACACACUCACUCUCACACACAUACACAUAUACUCAUAUAUACACAUAUACUCAUACAGACCUACAUAUAUAUACAUAAACACACACACACACACUCACUCUCACACACAUACACAUAUACUCAUAUAUACACAUAUACUCAUACAGACCUACAUAUAUAUACAUAAACACACACCACACACAGACACACACAGGAGAAGAACCAGAUUCAUCCAACAUCUGACAGUUAUUGAGACUCUAGACACCAUGCCCCUGUAGAACUUCCAUUCUGGCUAAGCAAGACAAUGCCCAGGGCAGGAAGUAAAUGGAAUCUAUUAGAGGGUGAUAAAUGCUAUGGAGGAAAAUUAAGUAGAGAAGGAGCAAAGAGAACUGGAUAAAAGUUGCUAAGAAAGUGACAUCUGUUAGAGGGCUGUCCAGGAAAAGGCAGAGUCGAGGGCAUGGUUAUGUGAUGUGUCUGCUAGAAGAGGCCUGUGAACUUACAGCUGGGUAAGUAAGGGAGGCGGGACAUCAAUCAGUUCAUGUAGGGCUUUGCGCAUCACCAAGAUGUCUUCAGUUUUCAAUUAACCUGAACAAGAUGUGGAGUCGGUUGUUGGUGUGUCCUGGGUAGUGGUAGCAUACACUCGCUCACACGUGUCCAUCUACUGUGUUCAGAGAGGACAUAGGGCCCAGGAGACCAAUCGCAAGAGAUUAAAAUAAAACCCAAGGAUGCCCCGAAUCUCUAUCAGAGUCAUAGUAGUAGUGGUGGGAAGACAUAUGUUUAAAAAUGAAGGUAGGAGCUGUGCCGAUGUGAUUGGCUGGUGGGUUAUCUGUGAAAUGUGAGGGAGGGGGAGGGGCUGCUCCUGUUGCCAGGGGAAAAGCAGGGUUAAUGAUUUAAGGUGUCCCAGGAGGAAGAGGUUUGUUUGGGACAUGACACACUUGCUGUGCCUGUGAGAAGCCACGCACAGAUGAUGAAUGGCCGGUGUGUAUUUAAGUCUGGAGUCCCAGGUAGGAGCAGAGGCAGCGUAGCUGUGAUUCAUCGGUAGGAACACAGAAACAUAUACACACACACAGAGACACAUGGAAAGAGUUGUGAUUCUGUAAGAAAACAUCCAUGAUGCACAAAAGCCAGGAUACAAAACACCCCGAUUUGAAUUAAGCUUAAGAAAGCAGAGUACGAGGUUGGAGAGAUGGCUUAGUGGUUGGGAGUGCUGACUGCUCUUCCAGAGGUCCUGGGUUCGAGUCCCGGCAAUCACAUAGUAGCUCAUGGCCAUCUGAUGCCUUCUUCUGGUAUGUUUGGGGACAGCUACCAUGUACUCAUAUACAUAAAAUAAAUCUUUUUUAAAAGACAGAGUGUGUAUGUGUGCAUGUAUAAACACAUGCAUCAUAUACAUAUAUGUACAAAUGCACACACACAUAAACAUACAUAGUUGGAAACAUUUUCAGAAAGCAGGUUAGAUCUUGGAGUAAUUAACAAGUUCUCCUUAGCAUUUAGAUUUUUACAUAAGAUUGUGCAUUAUUGGGUAAUUCUUUUUUAGAUAUUUAUUUUAGUUUUUGUUAUGCAUGGUUUUGUCUGUGGAAUACAGGAAUUUGGGUGCAGGUGCACAUGGCGGCCAGAAGAGGGCACCGGCACUAGAGCUGGGGCUGGAAUUCUAGGCCUUGUGAGCCACCCACCCCAUACCUGUGCAGGGAACAACAAUCGGGCACUGUGGAAGAACAGCAAGCACUGGUAAGCUGAGGCCUCUCUCCAGCCUCGGGAGGUAACGUGUAGAGAGUGUAAGGGCAUGGGCUGGGCAAAUUAUCAAAGCCUUUAUCUUCUAGAACAUGCUUCCGUCCUCUACUCUGAACUCCAGUCAUGCCUUGGUUUACCCCUCUCUUUUCCCUCGACGCUUUCUCUGAUCAGUUAAUAUCAAAUAGGCAUGAGGAGGACCAGGGAGACCUGUGGUCUACCAUCCCAGAGUUGGUCCUGCAAAACAGGAAGAAGCAGAGACCAAAGCUGAAUGCAACACUUACCUCAGAGUCAUGAUUAGAGAAUUCAAAUUCUUUAAGCAGUUGCCAAUUUAAUUCUCAAGGUCUGUCUGUCUCUCUCUUUUUCUUUCCUUUUUUCCUUCCUCUCUCUCUCUCUCUCUCUCUCUCUCUCUCUCUCUCUCUCUCUCUUUCUUUCUUUCUAAGCCAUGGCAUUUAGAAUAGCUGGUUCCUGAAACUUAAAUGCCCCUCUGUACGUUUAAUUCCUGACUAAAGUCUGGAACAGAACAAUAGACACCAUGAGCUGAACGGAUAGGAAACGGUUACUGUAAGCUGAUUUUACAUCACAGGCUUGCAAGGCCUGGGGCCUCUACUCUCCUCCACCACAGGCAUUAAAGGUGAGCCUUCUCUCCAGGUUGCAAAGACAAUCUCCAAGCUUCUAGGUCAGUGGUUCACAACCUUCCUAACGCUAUGGCCCUUUACUGCAGUUCCUCAUGCUGGGGUGACCCCCCAACUACAAAAUAUCUUGUUGCUGCUCCACAACUGUAAUUUUGCUACUAUUAUGAAUUGUGAAGUAAAGGUCUCUGUUUUCCGAUGGUCUUAGGUGACCCCUGGGAAAGACUCAUCUGAACCCCAAAGAGGUUGCAACCCACAGGUUGAGAACUGAUGCCCGAGGAACCUAGGUGGCAGGUUUUUAUUUUAAAGGAGUUUUCUAUUGAGACAUUACAGCUGAGCAGAACUCGACUCUCUCCUUCCUACCGUCUCCUGUUCCCAUUUAAACACACUUCCUCGGAUCCACUUGUGAUAAGCAAUGGAAUUAGACAACCGUCUGUCAACACAGGACUCCUUCCCCCUCAGAAUCUCUCUCGGGUGGAAAACACCUUUUGAGAAAGGAAAAUCGCUGUGGGUGAUUUCUCUACUGGAGGGAAGUUAUUAUUUCCCCCUCAGCAAGCCCAGCCGCCAAGAGCUGCUGUUCUCCUGCUCCCUGAGCCCAGCUCGCCCCCUCACCCGUCCUCCAGCUCACAGCUGGCCCACAGGGAGCACCCUCUAGCUUCCUCCAGCAUUUCCUGAGGUAUCUCCAAAGCCUUCAGAAGGAGACAGAGCUACUCUUAGUGAACAUCUCUAGCCUCUUCAUCUCCUGCUACAGAUGGGGCAGAGGAAGUCACUGUUCUAAGUUCAAAUCCUACUGGUUCUAAGAAUAUGAGGACAUUGUCUACCUGUGUUUGACAUUGUGAGAUUCAGUGGAUGACUUCAGAGCCAGGGUAAACUCCCAGCAGGCAGACCUCUUGCCUCAUCCAGGCUGAGGGGAACCAACUGGGAUCCAGCUAUAGAGACCUGAGGUCCAGUAACCUAGUCCCUCUCUCAGGGAGCCUCCAGGGUUUUCCUCUGGUAUAUGGGAAUGUCAUAAAGAUGUCUGGAGACUAGGGCAAUGGCUCACUGGGUAACACCUGCUAUAUAAAACUUGAGGACCUGAGUUCAGAUCCCCAAUACCCACAUAAACUUUAGUGCAUCUGGAACCCCAGCGCUGGGAAGUAGGGUGGGAACAGAGAGAUCCAAGGGCUCCUGGCCAACCAAUACAGCUCAGAGUCAGUGAGAGACCAAGUCUCAAGAAUCUAUGACAGAGGAGCAUUAAGGGAGAUUCCUGAAGUCGACCUCUGGCCUCUGCACACAUGUGCACCCCAUGUGUUCACACGCUCACACACAUCCAUAAGCACACGCAUAGAUUACUCGCUGUCAGCUUUAUCUACUGUAGAUGUGCAGGUAGGUGGGGGGGCCUCUGCUUCACAAAACACAGAUGCUGUAAAUGCAGGUACGGCAGCAGUAACCGAGACCUUCCCGACCAGGAACUCCACGGUUAUGCAGAGUCCUCCCCUCACCCAGGUGCUCACCAAAACUCCCUGCAUGGACAAAGCCCACAGUGAGGCUGCGAGGCUCAGGGUAAGGGGUGUUAGCUCUACUGGAGUGUGGGGGGAGUCAGGCUGGGAGGACUCAGAUUUAGAGCCAAGAGGGGGUUACCCACCGUCUAACUGAAAUACACACCCAGAGCCACAGUUUAGAGACUGCUACUGUCUCUUUUGAUUGUCUCCACUGUAAAGACUCAUGCACCUAGCACUAAAGACAUCCCCACCCCUUCACUGAGGACUGAAGAAAGGGCAGCUGCAAAACCUUGCAGCUAAGACACGACACUCCAUCUAAGAAGGGACUUCCUGGUCAUUAGCCUUGGCAAAUUCCAGACACUAAACUUAGGCUUAAAAGAUUUACUGAACCUUUCUCCUUUUUUUUUUUUUUUUUUUUUUUUGUCUUAAUGCUUGAGAUCAAACUCUAGGUCUACAUAGACCGAACGGGUACGCUGCCACUGUGCUAUACGCCUUGCCUCUCAAUUCUCUUAUUUAAACAGUUUUCUUUCUUCUGGUUUCUGUUGUUGUUUUGUUGAACAAUCAUUAGUCUACAAUUUUGAGGCUGGCCUGGCUUUAUGAGAUCAGAGAGGUAACUUGCCCCUGGUCAUAAGGUAAUUGAGAAAUGUAAUAAGAAGUACUCAGAGGUAUGAAAGGAUGACUUUGUCCCCUACCAGCUCUUCAGGGGUCACGUCAAAAGAAAGGUGCCAGGGAAGUAAAAAGAAUGAAAACCCAACCGCCUGGUUUUCACUUCAAAAGGGGGCUGAAGGACUCACAGACGCUUCCAGUUUACAAGUGAGAUACAUCUUAUCUCAAAAUCACCAAAACUGGACAAAUGCAGGGCUCUUAAAUUAAGAGGGGGCGAGUGGACAAGUCCUCCCACUCUCCCCUGCCUGCACCUAAUACUGAUCAGUGUUGGGGCCCCAAGCAGUGAGACUCUGGGAAGAAGAAAGGGCGGGGGUUGACUGAACCCAAGGCUGAUGCUGUUCACCCCGUGCUCUGCACCUAAGACCCAGUUCUUGUCCUGGGUUGGGAGGAGGCAAUCCUGAAAAACUGAGAUAGUGGGAGAGCCCUAUAGAGACAGAGGCUUGUGAUUUGUUCCCGGUGUGUGACGGGAAUCAAGCGCAUGUCCUCUGCAGGGGAUGGGAAAGGCUGCGUGGGAAGGUUCACAGAGAGACAUGAGGCUCUGGUCUUCAUCAUGGCCUCCUUGGUGCCCGAGCACCGCCAAAGGACCGCCUGAUCUUAUCCAUAUCCUUGAAUAGGGUCAUAGUACUAGUCGGCACAGACGCAUCUGCCAGAGAGGAGAGGAUCCCAUGGGACAUCAGUCAAUAUGGCGCAUAGGAGUCGUGGGCACAACCUCAGUUAGCUCUCCCUAGGCCUGGCAGGAAUAAACGUUGGUCACCAACUAACCGAAGAACUCCAGAUAGUUGGGUUAAUACCAAAGGACGACAAACUAUAUCCAGGAGGACCUCGUACUAUAUUGCAGUUCAGAAGCCCCCUCUCCUCCUCACCUCCUAUAGUUCAGAGCCAAGGCUCACUUAGCUGAAUAUACCUAGCAGUGACCCCAGUAUGUUCUAAGAACACAUGGAGGUUCAAAAGGGUAAUGGCGUUGACACAGACCAUUAGCAAUGUCCCUUAACGACAUUACCACACUGGGGACACACUGGUAUCUGCGAGACCGUAAAACAUGAUUUCUGUGAGAAUCAAGAGUACUGCUGCCUCAGGAGGGAGCCACAAGGUCCUUUACAGGCAAAGACUUCCUGUGGAUGCCAUGACAGGUAACAGAGAGUGGCUGGGGCUCAGCCUUUCUCCCUUCCCUGCGGCUCAGGUGUCAUCUGGGAACUGCCCCUCACCUCUGACCCCUCCCUGACAAUCAACGUUCCUUUUCAUUCCAGUUACCACAAGUUCAGCCCAGCUCGUGUCACUUGCUACAAGUCACCCUGAAAGCUUCAUAGAAAGAACCAUCAGUCCAAGGGAAAGACCGUCUUCCCUCGAUCAAAUGUGGGUCAAGCCCUGUUACUGCAGAUGUACAUAAUGCGGUGACCCUAGGGGCUAUCAAAAGCCUUUCUCAGUCAUAGGUGCUGCUAUCUUCCGAGGAGUCACCAAUUGAAUCCAUAUUAAGUCAUUAAUCAUUCGAGCUGGGAAGGGGUUAUCCUCCCCUCCAUUAGGACAAUGCUAGAUACAGUAAUCACACAGCACCCCGUCUCCAGUCUUGCUGUUGGCACUUGGUUACCGCUUCACCCCAUGCUUACAUGAAAAUUCGACGUAACUCAGAGGUUAGCAAUGGGAUUGUUAGCAUAGAAGGUCAGACUCAGAGUCCCAGAGGAAGAGCUUGCCCCAAAUGUCAGUUACUCAUAGUAGCCGGAACAUGUGGGGCUUCUAAGGCCAUGUUUCUUAGACAACUUCCAAAUGGCCUCAGGAACUGAGUAAAUAUUUUUCAGGAGCCAUUUCAGUCCAGGGGCAAGGAGGAGAAACAAGCACGUCAUCUGCAAGGCACU